rnacentral:misc_RNA from 1 species
GAUGAAGAACGUAGCGAAAUGCGAUAAGUAAUGUGAAUUGCAGAAUUUAGUGAAUCAUCGAAUCUUUAAACGCACAUUGCGCCCUUUGGUAUUCCGAAGGGCAUGCCUGUUCGAGCGUCAUUAUAACCACUCAAGCCUUUGCUUGGUAUUGGGGUUCGCGGUCUCGCGGCCCCUAAAAUCAGUGGCGGUGCCUGUCGGCUCUACGCGUAGUAAUACUCCUCGCGAUUGAGACCGGUGGGUAGCUUGCCAACAACCCUAAUUUUCUCAGGUUGACCUCGGAUCAGGUAGGGAUACCCGCUGAACUUAAGCAUAUCAAUAAGCGGAGGA